GAGAUGGAGGUACCGAUGGUGAUAUAGAAAAUGGUGUGAUUUUAGAAAAGGUAGUAAUAAAGAGAAAAGAAUAAAGUGAAAAUAGAAACCCUAGCUAGAAAGGAGAAAAAAGAAGAAAGAGUUUAAAAAGGUUUCACAUAAGUUAUAUUUUAUGCCACAUCAGUGUCAACUAUAUGUUACGUGAUAGCAUGUAACCGUUUAUAUCACAAC
rnacentral:lncRNA from 1 species